rnacentral:SRP_RNA from 1 species
CGAAGCUCCCCGCGUGGCGCUAUCUGGACCAAUCCCCCAGGACGGAAACGUAGCAAGGGUCGUCUAGCUCUAGUGGGUACGCGGGGAGUCUUUUUU